AGGACAUAAUCUAGAAGCUUGCUUGCAUGCGCUUGAAGCUUGCUUACAUGCGUAAACAUAUUUUGAAACCGCAACCGCAUUUAUUGUUAUUGUGGUUAACUAUUUAGUGCUGUAACAUACUGUAUUGCGUAUGGGAUGUAGGUCACAAAACCACAAUACUUCCCAUUAGAUAUUAUAUAUAUAUGAGUAGUUUACACCACUGAGUACAACCUACGAGCACAAGCUACGAGGAGAUAAACUUAGGAGGCAUAGACUACCGAAGUAGUUUGACAAGCUACAAUCUACCAGACAACUAUCUUGGCAUUUAUGCCAUAACUAUCUUUUGGCUUUUGUGCCUUUAAUCUAUUUGGAAAACUGUUGUGAGUCAUUGUUGGACUCACAAAUGCUCAAGAAUAAAGACUCACGGUUGUACUCAGACAGAGGAGAUAAGUUUUAUUCAUACUUAUUGAUAUUAUAAUUAAGACACUUAUCCACUUUAAUAUUUACGCGUUGGUUAAUAAAUUGUUUGAGAAAUAUAACUGGUUCACACUAUCUUUGUUGCGUGUGGAAAUAGAACCAAAAUUAAUAGUUAUUCUUUCGGGACCUCGCACGUAACAUGCACAAUGAUCAAAACAACAAAAAGGCGUGCUUGCAGGGAUGUGUAAUCCAUUUUAAAGGUGAAAAUGGGCCAUUGACUGAUUUUACCGAGACAUCUUUGAAAAAAGUUUUACAUUGUCACAAGCUUUGGUUACUAUACAAUGGUGAGCAAAAAGACAUCGCUGAAAAGAACAAAAAUUUGAUGAAAAAAAUUUAGUCCGUGAAAAGUCCUUUGGCUGAGUACCGUGGAGAGUUAAAGUACCAUAGAAAUUGCUAGGCAAAGUUCACCAAUGUCGGCCUGGUUAGACGGGCUGAAAAAAGAAUGAGCAAAAAGUUUGAAGCUUCAGCAGCCACUGUCAAUGAAAACUAUAUACAAGAAAAUAAGUCGACAGAUGUAAAUGAGCCUCACACGAAACUGCUACGAUCAUCCUCGUUUUGUCAUGACAGUUCUAAACCUCCGAUAAGAACUAUAGCAGUUUUGCCAUCAAUAUGCAUAAUAUGCAAGCAAGAAAAGUCCUUCGUCACUCAAUCGGUAAAUAAUGUAACAAAUAAACCAAUAUGUUACAGGUAUUCCAAUACCUGUUUUGUAACAUCAUGUUCUGUACUUAAUCUACCUACAAUAUGAUUUUACUUUUGUUGUCUUACUGAUGGUGAGGAAUGUCCAAUUUUUCUACAAUUUGGUAAAGAUCUUUAUUUAUUGACAAGAGUUCAGCGAUAGUUAAUGCUUCAAGGUACACUCUCUUUGCAUCUGGCAAGUGUACGGACGAAUGCCUUCCCCCGAAUGCAGAUAGCAUGCUUUUGCACAUUAAGAGAGCCAACUACCAAGCAGCCAUCUGGAAGAAUAGUUUGCAAUCGCACAUUAAUGUUCAACCUCCUGUGAGCCAUGGAUGGCACAUGAAAAAUGGUCAGUUAGAGAUUCUUUGGAUGACUGGACCAUCUGCUCCAGAUACACUUAUUGAGUGCGCGACAUGCAAGUGUAAAGCUGGUUGCAAGAAUCUUCGAUGCUCGUGCGUGAAGUCUGGUUUGCAAUGUACUGACAUUUGCGGUUGUUCUGACUGCAGUAACUACGCCUCUGAAGAUGACGGCCCAAUGAAAGAGCCGGAUGAGUGCGAUGAUAGCGAUUAAGAUGAUGCCGACGAUACACAUGAAAACUUCAUAAACGAUUUCAAUGAAAUGUUCUAUUAAGAAUGCACUGCUCAGCAGUGUGUACAGCAGGAGCUAGAUGGCGACCAAAGGAUUCUGAGUACGCAAUCUCAUGUGCCAAUUUAUUAUCGUUAUAUUAUUUACACAAAAAGAUGAAGGACUCCUUCGCAAUUCAAUUUCAAGAAUUGUUUUUUCAUUUUUUAGUCUUUUUGUCCAUCAAGCAGAUAUGGAAGAUUAAUAGCUAAACAUAUCAUUUCAAAUUAACUUAGAAAGAUUGCUCCUUAAUCAUUAUUUAGCCCCGUUCUUUUGAAUAUGAGCCAGCAAAUUUAGCGAAUUUCACACAAAACAAUAUGGCGGAUAUAGAAAAUAAAUGUCGAAUUUUUGAUGGCUCUAGCUCUCUUGAUUGCAAGUUUUCGGGAUGUAAACAGGCAGAUUUAUGUUAAGUGAGUACAUAUCAGUACAUCUA